CAAACCCCCAGACCUCUGAGUGAGUCACAGAACCAUCUCCUAGGCAACGAUAUGCACUCAGAGGAGCAGAAAGAAAGCAGCCCGACAAACAUCGAGGUGUGUCAACCUGUUUCAAUUACUAUAGUGAAUGAGUCCUAAUCAGGACUUUGGCAUGGCACCAGGAUUUCUUCUCAUUUAUGAGUACUGUUGUCAUGGAGACCUCAUGUGAAAGAGCACACAACCCACAAGAUAUCAUGCCUUAAGGUUAGCA